rnacentral:rRNA from 1 species
UAAUGCUGAGGACUCUAAAGAGACUGCCUAUGUAAAUAGUGAGGAAGGUGGGGACGACGUCAAGUCMKCAUGGCCCUUACGUCCAGGGCUACACACGUGCUACAAUGGUCGGUACAGAGGGUUGCCACUUAGCAAUAAGGCGCUAAUCCCAAAAAACCGAUCUCAGUUCGGAUCGGAGUCUGCAACUCGACUCCGUGAAGUUGGAUUCGCUAGUAAUCGGAUAUCAGCAAUGAUCCGGUGAAUACGUUCCCGGGCCUU